rnacentral:rRNA from 1 species
CCUACGGGAGACAGCAGUGAGGAAUAUUGGUCAAUGGCCGGAAGGCUGAACCAGCCAAGUCGCGUGAGGGAAUAAGGCCCUAUGGGUCGUAAACCUCUUUUGUCAGGGAGCAAAGGCGUCCACGUGUGGACGAGAGGAGAGAACCUGAAGAAAAAGCAUCGGGAAACUCCGUGCCAGCAGCCGGGUUAAUACGGAGGAGGCGAGCGUUAUCCGGAUUUAUUGGGUUUAAAGGGUGCGUAGGCGGAGUGUCAAGUAAGCGGGAAAAUUUCGGGGCUCAACCUAGUCGUGCCGUUGAAACUGGCGGCCUUGAGUGAGUGAGAGGUAAGCGGAAUGCGUGGUGUAGCGGUGAAAUGCAUAGAUAUCACGCAGAACGCCGAUUGCGAAGGCAGCUUACCGGCGCUCAACUGACGCUGAGGCACGAAAGUGCGGGUAUCGAACAGGAUUAGAUACCCUGGUAGUC